UAAAUACCAAAAAGAAACAUUAAUUAUCACUGAAAUUCCCUUUCCACAUUUAGUAAGCCCUUUGUUAAAAAGGCUUUAAUCUUAAUGCUGAAAAUGAUUUCAUUCGAAUUAAAUCAUUUAGGCCGAGAUAGCGCUCAAAUUUCCCACUUAAUCUCUGAUGUUAUUCUAAAUGCACUGUAACGGGAAAUCCCGACCCUUGAACUCGUCCUGUGUGGGCUACCCUUUGACCUCUCAACACUUCGUCUUGUAUAAUCAGCUAGACGCAAAUAACAUCACUAUACCCCCCCCCCCUUUUUUUUUUUCCAUCUCCUUUUCUAGGUCUACGUGACAAAUGUCCCCCACAUUUCUGGACCUCGAGUUGGCGCUCAAGUUCACUGUCCACGUGCUGUCCUCAAAACGUUGUGACCAGUCUUCUUACGUCUUUGUCCUAUCUGGUGGCCAUCUCGAGUAUUGAUUUUCUAUUUCUGUUUUUAAACGGAUCGACAGUCUUCCAGAGUGGCCGUAUACUUAUUUGUGGCAUCGUCUGUCGUCCAAGAUCUACACAAAUGUUCUAAUCUCCAGCCAAGUGAGUGACAGUAAGAUUUGUGUUGUCAGUAAUGCAACAAUGUGUGCUACAGCUUCUGAAAUACCUGAAGAAUUAGAUUCUACAAUGUGUGAGUAGUGGGAAUCACACAAGUAAAUGGGACCAACCACACUCUAUCAACAGACCUUUAUGUGUAUGGGAUAGAAUUAGGACAGUUUAAUAAAUACUUGAACGAAAAUGGUAAUGUCUACAGUAAAUUAUCACACACUGCCAGAUUCAAACCCUGACAUUGCCUUUACUACCAAGCACUUCCUUUGAGAUACCACAUUGUACAAAAUAUGUAUAUCACAUAUUGAAUUUCAUUUCUAUUUGGAAAAGCUUUUUCAAUGAAAAAUAAAAUUCUGCCCAUUUUGAAAUUCUAAAGUGAAAUUGUAAUUUUUAGCCACAAAAUUAAAAGUGAAAUAAAUAUUUUUCUGAGU